rnacentral:rRNA from 1 species
CUACGUGCCAGCAGCCGCGGUAAUACGUAGGGUGCAAGCGUUAAUCGGAAUUACUGGGCGUAAAGAGUGCGCAGGCGGUUUUGCAAGACCGAUGUGAAAUCCCCGGGCUUAACCUGGGAACUGCAUUGGUGACUGCAAGGCUAGAGUGUGUCAGAGGGAGGUAGAAUUCCACGUGUAGCAGUGAAAUGCGUAGAGAUGUGGAGGAAUACCGAUGGCGAAGGCAGCCUCCUGGGAUAACACUGACGUUCAUGCCCGAAAGCGUGGGUAGCAAACAGGAUUAGAUACCCUGGUAGUCCACGCCCUAAACGAUGUCGAUUAGCUGUUGGGCAGCAUGACUGCUUAGUAGCGAAGCUAACGCGUGAAAUCGACCGCCUGGGGAGUACGGUCGCAAGAUUAAAACUCAAAGGAAUUGACGGGGACCCGCACAAGCGGUGGAUGAUGUGGAUUAAUUCGAUGCAACGCGAAAAACCUUACCUACGCUUGACAU